rnacentral:lncRNA from 1 species
GAGCAAUAAAAAAAAUUGGAUGAGGUCCGAUACAUAUCCAAUUUUAGGAGUAAUCUAAUUUUAUUGAACAUACUAGAUUCAAGCAGCUAUAGGUGGAGAGCUGAUGAUGAAAUCUUGAAAAUUUUGCAUGGCAGUAGGAUUGUGUUGAAGGAGAAGAAGUAUGGAGGACAUUACUUCUUGACAAAGAGCUCAACAUGAGGUCGAGCUUCAGGAGCUAAUGGGAACUCAGAGCAAGGUGGAGCUCCAAAUACAGAUGGAUUGGGCAUGAGACAG